rnacentral:rRNA from 1 species
UAACACGUGGAUAACCUACCUAUAAGACUGGGAUAACUUCGGGAAACCGGAGCUAAUACCGGAUAAUAUUUUGAACCGCAUGGUUCAAAAGUGAAAGACGGUCUUGCUGUCACUUAUAGAUGGAUCCGCGCUGCAUUAGCUAGUUGGUAAGGUGACGGCUUACCAAGGCAACGAUGCAUAGCCGACCUGAGAGGGUGAUCGGCCACACUGGAACUGAGACACGGUCCAG